AACGAGCGCUGGCGGCAUGCCUAACACAUGCAAGUCGAACGAUGCCUUCGGGCAUAGUGGCGCACGGGUGCGUAACGCGUGGGAAUCUGCCCUUCGCUUCGGAAUAACAGUUAGAAAUGACUGCUAAUACCGGAUGAUGUCCCCCUGAGAGAUCUUGGGGACCAAAGAUUUCUCGGCCAGGGAUAAGCCCGCGUAGGAUUAGGUAGUUGGUGGGUUAAAGGCCUUCCAAGCCGACGAUCCUUAGCUGGUCUGAGAGGAUGAUCAGCCACACUGGGACUGAGGCACGGCCCAGAAUCCUACGGGAGGCAGCAGUGGGAAAUAUUGGACAAUGGGGGGAACCCUGAUCCAGCAAUGCCGCGUGAGUGAUGAAGGCCUUAGGGUUGUAAGGCUCUUUUACCAGGGAUGAUAAUGACAGUACCUGGAGAAUAAGCUCCGGCUAACUCCGUGCCAGCCGCCGCGGUAAUAC
rnacentral:rRNA from 1 species